GCCAGCGUAGCUCAGCUGGUAGAGCAACUGAUUUGUAAUCAGUAGGCCGGGGGUUCGAAUCCCUUCGCUGGCUCCA
rnacentral:tRNA from 1 species